rnacentral:lncRNA from 1 species
GGGUUCGAUCCCUGGCCUUGCUCAGUGGGUUAAGGAUCCAGCAUUGCUGUGAGCUGUGGUGUAGGUUGCAGAUGCGGCUCGGAUCCCGAGUUGCUGUGGCUCUGGGGUAGGCCGGCAGCUACAGCUCUGAUUAGACCCCUAGCCUGGGAACCUCCAUAUGCCGCGGGAGCAGCCCUAGAAAAGGCAAAAAGACAAACAAAAAAAAACCCCAAAAAUAAAUAAAUAAAAAAAAAAUAAAAAAUGCUGAAAACAAUCAUUAUCAGUAAUAUAUGUUAAAAGCUGUUUUAUUUUUUUCUGAAAUGUGUGGGGAAGAAAACAAUAGUCAAUGCAAAAAUACCUUGGAUCACAUGCUUCAGUUCAUCUCUCAAGAUUAGCAGUCACUCUCUUAGAAGAAUAACAUUCGUCUGUUUUGCAUCUGCCAUGUUAAGUUGAAUGACAUUUUUAGAAAUGUGUGUACUUUUAUUUUAUCACCAAUACAGAAGGUGUACCUGCCUAAUGCAGAUCCCAUUGCCUAUAAGGAUUUUGUUCUGAAGCAAAGAUUUCACAAGGUUGGGAGAAAAUAAUAGCUUACAUCUGGCAAAUCCUCACCAAGAUGAACUUGCAAUAAUCCUCCUAAUACCUAAUGAUAAUAAUGUUAGCAAGUACCUCAAAGGAAUUUUUAGUCAAUAAAAUUCAAUGGUUCAAUAAACGUUUUAGGACUACUUGAAUGGAAUAAGGUUGGAAGAACUUUGAGAAAUUGUUUCGAAGAGUUAGCUGGUACUGAGUAUAAUAAGUAGUUUAAUGAAAGUUGUAGAGCAAUAAAUAAAUUUCUUUCCUGGAUUUCUCUCGUAAUCGUCCACAGUUGAAUGAAAACUGUGGUCAGCUGAGGGAGAAAGUUUGGAAAAAAAAAUUUUUCCCUGGCUUGCUCAGUGGGUUAAGGAUCUAGCAUUGCCGUGAGCUGUGGUGUAGGUUGCAGACGCGGCUCGGAUCCCUCAUUGCUGUGGCUGUGGUGUAGGCUGGCAGCUACAGCUCCGAUUGGACCCCUAGCCACAGGACCUCCAUAUGCCAUGUGUGUGGCCCUAAAAAGCCAAAAAAAAAAAAGUUUGUAGUGAUUAUGAAAAGAAAAUAUAGUUAUACUGUGCUUUUUAUAGAAUAGUUCCAAGUAAAGUCAGGCAUUAGUUUGUGUUCUGAAUGCCUACACAACAAUUUCAGAAAUAACUUCUUUGAAACUUUUCUUUACUCUCAACCAACAGUGUGUCUUUCCUAUGUCUUCACAUCAGCAUCAUUAAAGAAAAUUUCAGAGACUUGGAUUCUGUGCCUGGAGAACCUGAUUUCACUAGAGUCAUGGUGAUUAUAUUGAAACCACACAAAAUGAAACAAAUCUUCCUGUAGUUAUUUUGAUGUGUAGCCCUAAUUGAGAAUGACUGGGCUGUACAUGCAAGUCAUUGAGAAUACGAAGAAAUGAGAUGUCAGGCUGGUCCUAAAACUGUUUACUCUCUGAAAGAGCUCAACACUUCUAUUUCUUUCUUUCUUUUUUUUUUUCUUUUUACAGCGGUACCUGCAGCAUAUGGAAGUUCCCCGGCUAGGGGUUGAAUCGGAGCUGCAGCUGCCAGCCUACACCAUAGCUUGCGGCAAUGCCAGAUCCUUAACCCACUGUGCAAGACCAGGAAUCGAACCCACAUCCUCAUGGACAUAUGUUGGGUUCUCAAUGCACCGUGCCACAAUGGGAACUCCUAAAAUAUUUAUGUUUCUAAUAGAAAAGAUAUUUUCCCGUCACGAGCUCUCUUCCCACAUGUUGAUAGGUUUAUGUCUACUGUCUAAGGUUCUGCCAUGGCAGGAAUGCAAGGGCAAAGAACAGACAAAUUGAUUGAGUGAACUGUGUCAGAAUCAACUGUCAAAGAUCUGAAAUGGGCAGGAGAGAUUCCUGGGUGUCUGUUCAAUGGAGUGCUGGCUGUUUUCCAGCAGACCUUCCAGGAAUUAUCUGAUUUUACAAGGGUUUGCAUAUUUAAUUCUCUUUAGAGGCCGUUUUACAACUUUGUAGAGGUCGAAGUUACUUUGUAGAAAAUUGAUAAGAAUGCAAAUGAUUUUUUUCCAGAGAAAUGCUAAUUAAUACAUUUUUGUCCAGUAUGAAUACAGUUAAUUUCUGUCUGGUGGAAAAGAUAAAAUCUCAAACAUAAUAUUUUAUUGCCAACUAGGAUAUUAACCAGUUUUGCAUAAUUUAGCAAAUUCGUUCAGCAUUUAGUGUCCAUUGUAGUCCAUGUUUAAGUCUAUUUCUUCAGAUUCUCCUUUGAACCAGUUUUAGCAUCUUACUGAUCUUGUCAUUAAUUAGCUAUGUGAAAUCAUUGAUGUGUAUCAUCUAAUAUUUGAAUGAUAGUUAUGAUUUUACUCCUUUGAAAAUGAUGCCUUCUCAACUAUAAAUCCUUGCAUGAUUUAGAUUUGCCUUUGGAAAGGAUUUCCCAUCAAGGAUAUUUCUCUGCCUGCUGCUCUUCCAUGUGGUGGCUGUUUUCUCACUUAUCACUACUUGGCGCUGUAGCUGGAGAUAGGAUAUAUGUCCUCCGCACCCAUCACGGCGUCUUUCAUACAUUGAGAUAAUCCUUUCUCUGACAUCACACAGAAAACAUUCAUAAAAUCAUCUACCCUGGCUUUUUCUGAAAAAUCUAUUCUGGCAGAUUUAUUGACAGAAAUCAACUAUCCUGCAGCUUUUGAUUACAUCAUAAUCACUUUUAUGUCUUUUGCGAAGCUAUGGCCAUAAACCCCAUUGUAUUCACUAGAGAAACAUUCCUUGCUACCAUGGCAACAGGCAAAAUAUGUCAAGAAAUAUGUCAAGUACAUAAAUUGUACUUAUUUCUUGACUUGUUGUGUGGAGAUGUGACUUUGCUCUUGAAACGAUUCGAAGAUAUCCUUUCUUGCUUUCCAGAACAGUGAACUUUCUUAUAUCAAGUGAUCAGGGCCAAUAUAAGGCUAUCUCUAGAUACUCUUCAUGGUUAGUUAAUAAAGUCCCUGUGGCCAGUAGUCUAUAAACUUUAGAAGCACUUUCUGAUUUUUUAAUGGUCUUGUAGGUUCAUUUUGAUGUAAAAAAAAUGAAAAAAUAAAUUAGAAUGUGCAUUUUUGGAAAUGGAAAAAAAUUUGCCCAAGAAUAGAAUCAUCUAUGACAACAUAAUAAGUUUUAAAAUAAUAAUUAUAAUUGCAAUUUUAAAUAGUGCAAAUACAGAGAAAAGAAUAAUACAUUGGAGUUCAGAAUAAGACUGUUGCCAUAUUUUUUUUCGAACUAGCUUUUGCAGUAAUUAUAAUUGACAGGAGCAAGUACCUUUCAUUUUCCUAAGCUGAUGCAAUUAGGAAAUGUUUUAAAUAGGAAAAGAAUGUAUUCUCAUGUCAUUAGCACUUAUGAUAGAAAACACAAAUGACACUAUGAAAUAUUUCCAUUGUCAAUCAUAAAAUAUGCAUUUUUCUUAAAACAUCUAAGGUAGGAUUUUUUGGAAUAGAAAUUGUUAGGGGG